AUUGAACGCUGGCGGCAGGCCUAACACAUGCAAGUCGAACGAGUGGCGGACGGGUGAGUAAUGUCUGGGAAACUGCCUGAUGGAGGGGGAUAACUACUGGAAACGGUAGCUAAUACCGCAUACCAUAAGCUGUGCCCAGAUGGGAUUAGUUAGUUGGUGGGGUAACGGCUCACCAAGGCGACGAUCCCUAGCUGGUCUGAGAGGGUGACCAGCAACACUGGAACUGAGACACGGUCCAGACUCCUACGGUCGGCAGCAGUGGGAAAUGUUGCACAAUGGGGGCAAGCCUGAUGCAGCCAUGCCUGGUGUAUGAAGAAGGCCUUCGGGUGGUAAAGUACUUUAAGCGGGGAGGCGUUACCCGCAGAAGAAGCACCGGCUAACUCCGUGCCAGCAGCCGCGGUAAUU
rnacentral:rRNA from 1 species